AUUGAACGCUGGCGGCAGGCCUAACACAUGCAAGUCGAACGGUAACAGGCAGCAGCUUGCUGCUUUGCUGACGACUGGCGGAUGGGUGAGUCAUGUCUGGGAAACCUCCUGCUGGAGGGGGAUAACUACUGGCAAGGGUAGCUACUACCGAAUAACGUCGCCUGCCCACAGAGGGGGACCUUGGGGCCUCUUGUCGUCGGAUGCGCCCAGCUGGGCAUGGUUUGUAGGUGGGGUAACUACUCACCUAGGCGACGAUCCCUAGCUAGUGUGAGAGGACGGCCGGCCACACUGGAACGGAGCCACGGUCCAUGCGCCUACGGGAGGGAGCAGAGUGGAAUAUUGCACAAAGGGCGGAAGUCUGGUGCAACGAUGCCGCGUGUGUGGAGAAGGCGCUCGGGUUGUGAAGUACUCUCAGCGGUGAGGAAGGGAGUUAACUUGAUACCGAGCCUGAGUGACGGUACCCGCAGAAGAAGCACCGGCUAACUCCGUG
rnacentral:rRNA from 1 species